GAUGAACGCUGGCGGCGUGCCUAAUACAUGCAAGUCGAGCGAACAGACGAGGAGCUUGCUCCUCUGACGUUAGCGGCGGACGGGUGAGUAACACGUAGAUAACCUACCUAUAAGACUGGGAUAACUUCGGGAAACCGGAGCUAAUACCGGAUAAUAUUUUGAACCGCAUGGUUCGAUAGUGAAAGACGGUUUUGCUAUCACUUAUAGAUGGAUCUGCGCCGCAUUAGCUAGUUGGUAAGGUAACGGCUUACCAAGGCAACGAUACGUAGCCGACCUGAGAGGGUGAUCGGCCACACUGGAACUGAGACACGGUCCAGACUCCUACGGGAGGCAGCAGUAGGGAAUCUUCCGCAAUGGGCGAAAGCCUGACGGAGCAACGCCGCGUGAGUGAUGAAGGUCUUCGGAUCGUAAAACUCUGUUAUUAGGGAAGAACAAACGUGUAAGUAACUGUGCACGUCUUGACGGUACCUAAUCAGAAAGCCACGGCUAACUACGUG
rnacentral:rRNA from 1 species